CCUUACGGCCAUACCACCCUGUCUGCGUCUGAUCUCGGAAGCUAAACAGGGUUGGGCCUGGUUAGUACUUGGAUGGGAGACCACCUGGGAAUCCCAGGUGCUGUAAGCU
rnacentral:rRNA from 1 species